rnacentral:rRNA from 1 species
GGUUAAGCGACUAAGCGUACACGGUGGAUGCCCUGGCAGUCAGAGGCGAUGAAGGGCGUGCUAAUCUGCGAUAAGCGCCGGUAAGGUGAUAUGAACCGUUAUAACCGGCGAUACCCGAAUGGGGAAACCCAGUGUGAUUCGUCACACUAUCAUUAACUGAAUCCAUAGGUUAAUGAGGCGAACCGGGGGAACUGAAACAUCUAAGUACCCCGAGGAAAAGAAAUCAACCGAGAUUCCCCCAGUAGCGGCGAGCGAACGGGGAGGAGCCCAGAGCCUGAAUCAGCAUGUGUGUUAGUGGAAGCGUCUGGAAAGGCGCGCGAUACAGGGUGACAGCCCCGUACACAAAAGCGCAUGUGCUGUGAGCUCGAUGAGUAGGGCGGGACACGUGGUAUCCUGUCUGAAUAUGGGGGGACCAUCCUCCAAGGCUAAAUACUCCUGACUGACCGAUAGUGAACCAGUACCGUGAGGGAAAGGCGAAAAGAACCCCGGCGAGGGGAGUGAAAAAGAACCUGAAACCGUGUACGUACAAGCAGUGGGAGCACAGGUUUACCUG